UACUUUGGUGGCGACCGGCGCACGGGUGCGUAACGCGUAUGCAACCUACCUUUAACAGGGGCAUAACACUGAGAAAUUGGUACUAAUUCCCCAUAACAUUCGAGAAGGCAUCUUCUUGGGUUAAAAACUCCGGUGGUUAAAGAUGGGCAUGCGUUGUAUUAGCUAGUUGGUGAGGUAACGGCUCACCAAGGCAACGAUACAUAGGGGGACUGAGAGGUUAACCCCCCACAUUGGUACUGAGACACGGACCAA
rnacentral:rRNA from 1 species